GGACCGGUGAUACUCCUCCAGUCAUGCAUCCAAGAGAGCUACUAGGACGUGAGUGCUGAGAUUCUUUCUCUGACUGAACCUUCUUAUCAUCUUCGUCGCAGACUCACGGUCCUAAUUUUGUAAUAAGUAUUAAGACACCUUAGUUAUGCGUGUGAUCCGUGUUUAUGUUUAGAAUAGAACGGAUGUGGUCCAGAAGCUGAAUGAUGCUGUGCCGCGAGCUUAAGAUGAAUCAAGUCAGACUGACACAGUAUUUUCUUGAAACAGAAAAAAAAUGAUGUCAGACAUCUUUAAUAAAUAGAUCAAGUCAGACACAGCGUUACCAGUAACCGGCACGACCACGCAUUAAUUUGGCCAAUGAAACCAAGAUAUAGAUUCUUCGAUAAUGUUCACUUGAUAUAUAGAGUACAUACUAGUAGCAGCAAUUUGAAUUGUCAAAAAAACAAAAAAGAGAGAUACUACUAGCAAUUUGUACAGUGGGCUUGUUGUAUUUCCAAGCUUUCAUCCGGGAGAUGGGUUCAAGCGGGC
rnacentral:lncRNA from 1 species